CUUACGGGUGGCUGCAGUCGAGAAUCUUUCACAAUGGGGGCAACCCUGAUGGAGCGACGCCGCGUGGAGGAUAAGGUCUUCGGAUUGUAAACUCCUGUCAUGUGAGAACAAGGUUGCAGGGCUAACACCUUUGCAAAUUGAUGGUACCGCAAGAGGAAGAGACGGCUAACUCUGUGCCAGCAGCCGCGGUAAUACAGAGGUCUCAAGCGUUGUUGGGAAUCACUGGGCGUAAAGGGUGCAAGUCUGGUGUGAAAGCCCGGGGCUCAACCUCGGAAUUGCAUCCGAUACUGCCAUGCUGGAGUACUGAAGAGGUGACUAGAAUUCUAGGUGUAGCAGUGAAAUGCGUAGAUAUCUAGAGGAAUACCAACGGCGAAGGCAGGUCACUGGGCAGUUACUGACACUGAGGCACGAAGGCCAGGGGAGCAAACGGGAUUAGAUACCCGGGUAGUC
rnacentral:rRNA from 1 species